CCUACGGGUGACAGCAGUGGGGAAUAUUGGGCAAUGGGCGCAAGCCUGACCCAGCAACGCCGCGUGAAGGAAGAAGGCUUUCGGGUUGUAAACUUCUUUUAAGAGGGAAGAGCAGAAGACGGUACCUCUUGAAUAAGCCACGGCUAACUACGUGCCAGCAGCCGCGGGAAUACGUAGGUGGCAAGCGUUGUCCGGAUUUACUGGGUGUAAAGGGCGUGUAGCCGGGCUGACAAGUCAGAUGUGAAAUACCGUGGCUCAACCACGGAACUGCAUUUGAAACUGUCGAUCUUGAGUCUCGGAGAGGCAAGCGGAAUUCCAAGUGUAGCGGUGAAAUGCGUAGAUAUUAGGAGGAACACCAGUGGCGAAGGCGGCCUGCUGGACGACAACUGACGGUGAGGCGCGAAAGCGUGGGGAGCAAACAGGAUUAGAUACCCGAGUAGUC
rnacentral:rRNA from 1 species